rnacentral:rRNA from 1 species
UACGAAGGGGGCUAGCGUUGUUCGGAUUCAUUGGGCGUAAAGGGUGCGUAGGCGGCGCGGUAAGUCGGGUGUGAAAUCUCGGAGCUUAACUCCGAAACUGCAUUCGAUACUGCCGUGCUUGAGGACUGGAGAGGAGACUGGAAUUUACGGUGUAGCGGUGAAAUGCGUAGAUAUCGUAAGGAAGACCAGUGGCGAAGGCGGGUCUCUGGACAGUUCCUGACGCUGAGGCACGAAGGCCAGGGGAGCAAACGGG